AGUGAGUACAGUGGCGAACGGGUGCGUAACACGUUGGUGACCUGCCUUGAGGAGGGGGACAACCGUGGGAAACCACGGCUAAUACCCCGGAUGUCUAAACUGUUAGAGGGUUUAGACUAAAACUUCGGUGCCUCAAGAGGGGCCUGCGGGCUAUCAGCUUGUUGGUGGGGUAAUGGCCUACCAAGGCUAAGACGGCUAGGGGGCGUGAGAGCGCGACCCCCCACAAUGGAACUGAGACACGGUCCAUACUCCUACGGGAGGCAGCAGUGAGGAAUAUCGCGCAAUGGGGGAAACCCUGACGCAGCAACGCCGCGUGAACGAUGAAGGCCUUCGGGUCGUACAGUUCUUUUCUAAGGGAAGAUAGUGACGGUACCUUAGGAAUAAGUCCCGGCUAACUACGUGCCAGCAGCCGCGGUAAAACGUAGGGGGCGAGCGUUAUCCGGAUUUAUUGGGCGUAAAGCGCACGUAGGUGGCGCUGUAAGUUAGACGUGAAAGCUCUCGGCUCA
rnacentral:rRNA from 1 species